CAGCAGCCACGGGAAUACAGAGGGUGCGAGCGUUAAUCGGAUUUACUGGGCGUAAAGCGUGCGUAGGCGGCUUUUUAAGUCGGACGUGAAAUCCCUGAGCUUAACUUAGGAAUUGCAUUCGAUACUGGGAAGCUAGAGUAUGGGAGAGGAUGGUAGAAUUCCAGGUGUAGCGGUGAAAUGCGUAGAGAUCUGGAGGAAUACCGAUGGCGAAGGCAGCCAUCUGGCCUAAUACUGACGCUGAGGUACGAAAGCAUGGGGAGCAAACAGGAUUAGAUACCCCAGUAGUCCCUGUCUCUUAUAA
rnacentral:rRNA from 1 species